CUUGAGGUCUAUCCCGAUGGAUCUUUUCCUGUGGCUGCUCAUUGUUGGAAAUGCCUCUUAGAGGAACUCUGCGGUUUUCCUUUGCUCAAGGUCUAUUUCUUAGGUCUGUGAGAAGGUGCUACAAGAUAGCA
rnacentral:snoRNA from 1 species